UCCCUUGUGGCUCAGCUGGUAAAGACUCUGCCUGCAAAGCAGGAGACUUGGGUUCGAUCCUUGGCUUGGGAA
rnacentral:tRNA from 1 species